rnacentral:lncRNA from 1 species
UUUUUAGGGCUGCACCUGCAGCAUAUGGAGGUUCCCAGGCUAGGAGUCAAAUCAGAGCUGUAGCCAACAGCCUAGCCAUAGCCAGAGCAAUGCUGUAUAAGAGCUAAAUCUGCGACCUACACCACAGCUCAUUGCAAUGCCAGAUCCUUAACCCACUGAGCAAGGUCAGGGAUCAAACCUGUCUUCUCAUGGAUGCUAGUCAGAUUGAUUUUCACUGAGCCAUGACGGAAACCACCAAAGAGCUUUUAUUUAUUUAUUUAUUUAUUUAUUUAUUUAUUUUUGUCUUUUUGCUACUCUUUGGGCCACUCCUGCAGCAUAUGGAGGUUCCCAGGCUAGGGGUUGAAUCGGAGCUGUAGCCACUGGCCUACGCCAGAGCCAUAGCAACGCAGGAUCCAAGCCACGUCUGCAACCUACACCACAGCUCGUGGCAACGCUGGAUCCUUAACCCACUGAGCAAGGCCAGGGAUCAAACCCGCAACCUCAUGGUUCCUAGUUGGAUAUGUUAACCACUGUGCCACGACGGGAACUCCAGCUUUUAUUUUAAAUUACACAUUCAUAACUAGACACUGGGACAGUUGAUGUCUCAGUCAUAUUUCACCAGUUUUACAUGCAUUUGUUUGUAUAUAUGUGUAUAGUUCCUUCAGUUUCAUCAUGUGUAGAUUGAUGCAAGCACCAACGUAAUCAAGAUACAAAAUUGUUCUAUCACCGCAAGUCUCCACUCCCAUACCCCACCUGUACCCCUGGCAAACACUACUCUGUUUUCCAUCUCUAUGAUUUUAUUUCAAGAACAUUAUGUAGGAAUUCUCCAGUGGCACAGCAAGUUCGGGAUCCACUGCUGUCACUACUGUGGCUCCGGUUUGACUCCUGGAUGGUAAGUAACUUCCUCACGCUGCAGGCACGCCACCACCUCCCCCACCCCAAAUACUGUGUAAAAAGAAGUAUGUGACCUCUUUUCAGACCGGCCUUCCAUUCAACCUAAUUCCCUUGAGAUCCAUCCAAGGUUACAUAUAAAUAGUUCAUUCCUUUUUGGUUAUGUUGUUUUUUGCUUUUUAGAGCUGCACCCAUGGCACAUGGACGUUCCCAGGCUAGGGGUCCAAUUGGAGCUACAGCUGCCAGCCUACACCACAGCCACACCAGAUCCAAGCCACAUCUGCGACCUACACCACAGCCCACGGCAAUGCCAGAUUCUUAACCCACUGAAUGAGGCUAGGGAUCGAACCCACAACCUCAUGGUUCCCAGUCAGAUUAGUUUCUGCUGCACCACAAUGGGAACUUGUUUAUUCCUUUUUCUUGCUACAUUGUGUUCCAUGGAUGGACCUCCCAAAAUUAUUUUUUUCAUUUUUUGGCCACAUCUGCAGCAUAUGGAAGUUCCCAGGCCAGGGACUGAACCUAAGCCUCACCUGCAAUCUACACCACAACUGUGGCAACAGUUAACCCACUACAUCACAGUGGGAAUUCCCAAGGGCAUGCUACAUUUUAACCAUACACUUGGUGAAGGAUGUUCUGGUUUCCUUCGUUUUUUUUAUUUUUUAUUUUCUGGUCAGUUGUGUCUUUUUAGGGCUGCACCCCGGCACAUGGAGAUUCCCAGGCUAGGGGUCUAAUCAGAGCUAUAGCUGCCAGCCUACACCACAGCCACGCCAGAUCCAAGCCAUGUCUGCAACCUACACCACAGCGAGGCCAGGGAUCGAACCCACAAGCUCAUCAUUCCUAGUUGGAUUCGUUUCCACUGUGCCACAACGGGAACUGCUGGUUGUUUCCAUUUUUGAUGAUUACAAAUAAAGCUGCUCUGAACAACCAUGUACAGUUUUCAUGUGAACGUUUCAUUUCUCUGGGACAAAUGGCCAACAAUAAAAUUCCUGGGACAGAGGGUAGUAAUGUGUUUAGUUUUAGAAGAAACUGCCAAAUUGUUUUCCAAAGCGGCUGUACAAUCUACAUUCCCACCAGCAAUAUAUAGGUGAUCCAUUUCUUCCACAUCCUAACCAGCAUUUGGUGGUGGUACUAUUUUUUAUUUUAGCCAUGUGAUAGGAUGUGUGGUGAUGUCUCAUUGUGGGUUUGAUUUACACUUCCCUAAUGGGUAAUGAUGUCAAACACCUUCUCACUGCUUAUUUACCAACUGUAUCUCUUCAGUGAAAUGACCUUUUUUUUUUUUUUUUUUUUUUUUUUGCUUUUUAGGGCCUCACCUGUGGCAUAUGGAGGGUCUAAGGCUACGGGUCUAAUUGGAGCUACAGCUGCCAGCCUACACCACAGCUCACAGCAAUGAUGGAUCCUUAACCUGCUAAGGCCAGGAAUCAAAACCGAAACCUCAUGGUUCCUAGUCAGAUUCGUUUCUGCUGUGUAAAGAUGGGAACUCCUCUUUUGUUCAUUUUCUAAUUGGAUUGUCUUACUGUAGAAUUUUUCAGACUUAAUUGCAUAUUCUAGAUAGAAGGCCUUUGUCACAGAAGUGUUCUGCAGACAUUUUCCCCCAUUCAUAGCUUUUCAUCUUCCCAAGUCUUAUUUCUGCUCGGAUCUUUUUACUACCCAAUGAAUUUUACUACACUUACAGCUGUACAACGACCAUCACAAGCAAAUUUUAUAGCAUUCCCACCCUAAACCCUCAGUGCAUUCCUCCCCCACCUUCUGCUCUGAUCUUUGAUUUCUUUCCUUCUACUAACUUUAGGUUUUGUUUGUUCUUUCUCUAGAUUCUUUGGUUGUAAAGUUAGGUUCUUUGAGAUUUUUCUUGUUUCCUAAGACUGUAUUGCUAUAAACAUCCUGCUCAGAACUGCUUUUGGUGUGUCCCAGAGGAUUUGGAUCAUUGUGUUUUUGUUUUCACGUCUCUAGGUAUUUUUAAAAUUUCCCCUUUGACCUCUACAACGGUCCAUUGAUUGUUUAGUAGCAUAUUGUUUAGAUUCCACGUUUGUAUUUUUUUAAUUUACUUUUUUUUUUGCGGGGGGGGGGGGGCUGUUUCUUUUUAGGGCUGCACACGCAGCAUAUGGACGUUUCCAGGCUAGGGGGUGAACUGGAGCUGUAGCCACUGGCCUACACCACAGCUACAGCAACACCAAAUCCAAGACUUCUCUGCGACCUACACCUUGGCUCACAGCAACAGGGGAUUCUUAACCCACUGAGCCAGGCCAGGGAUCGAACCUGUAUCCUCAUGGAUACUAGUCAAGUUCAUCCUGACUGAGUCACAAUGGCAACUCUUGCAUUUACUUCUUGUAGCUGAUUUCUAAUCUCAUAGCAUUGUGUUUGGAAAAGACACUUGACACAAUUUCAAUUUUCUUAAAUUUACUGAGGCCUACUUUGUGGUCCAGCAUGGUAUCUGUCCUGGACAGUGUUCCAUGUGUACAUGAAAAGAAAGUGUAUUCUGCUGCUAUCAAAUGGAAUGCUCAAUAAUUAUCAACUAAGUCUGUCUGGUCUAAUGCAUUAUUUAAGGCCUAUGUUUCCUUACUGACCUUCCAUCUGGAUGAUCCGUCUACUGAUAUAAGUGAUGUAAAGUUCCCCAAUUGCGUGUUACUGUCGAUUUCUCCUUUUAUAUGUUAACAUUUGCCUUAAUGUUGGAGUGCUCUUAGGUUCAUAUAUAUUUAUAAUUCUUCUUCUUGGAUUGAUCCCUUGAUCAUUAUGUAGUGCCCUUCUUUGUCUCAUAACAGUCUUUUUUUCUUUUCCCCCCAUCUUUUCCAGCUGCUGGCCUAUGCCACAGCCACAGCAACGCCAGAUUGGAGCUGCAUCUGUGACCUACACCACAGCUCACGGCAACGAAGGAUCCUUAACCCACUGAGCAAGGCCAAGGGAUCAAACCUGCAAUCUCAUGGUUUCUAAUCAGAUUUGUUAACCACUGAGCCAUGAAGGGAACUCUGUGUAACAGUCUUUAUUUUAGUCUAUUUUGUCUAUUACUACUCCAGCUUUUUGAUUUCCAUAUGCAUAGAAUACCUUUUUCCAUCCCCUCACUCUCAGUCUCCAUGUAUCUCUAGAUCUCAUAUGGGUCUCUUGUAGACAGCAUAUAUACGGGUCUUCUGUGUCUUAUUUAGCUAGUUUCUGUGUUAUAGUUGGUGCAUUUAAUCCCUUUACAUUUAAAGUAAUUAUCAAUGUAUGUCCUUAAUGCCAUUUUGUUAUUUUGGAUUUUUGUAGGUCUUCUCUUGUGAUUUGAUGACUUUCUUUAGUGUUGUGUUUGGAUUCCUUUUUGUGUGUAUCUAUUAUAGAUUUUUAGUUUGUAAUUAACAGGUUUUGAUACAGCAGUCUAUAUACAUAUACGACUAAGUUGAUGAGCUCUUAAUUUCAAAUGCAUUUCAAAUAUCCUAUAUUUAUAUUCUCACCCUCUCAUGAUUACUGGUUUAGAUUGCAUAUCUGUGUGUGGAUAAUUUCCUAACUUCAUUGUAUUUUACCUUUACUGGUGAGAUUUUCCAUUUCAUAAUUUUCAUGUUUCCAGUUGGGACUUUUUGUUUUUCCACAUAGAGAAAAUUGCUGUAAAGGUGGUUUGGUUGUGCUGAAUUCUCUUAGCUUUUGCUUCUCUGUAAAGCUUUUCUUUUCUCUGUUGAAUCUGAACAAGAGCCUUGCUGGGUAGAGUAUUCUUGGUUGAGGUUUUUCCCCUUUUAUCAUUUCAAAUAUAUUGUGCCACUCCCUUCUGGCCUGUAGAAUUUCUCUUGAAAAAUCAUCUGAUAACUUUACAGGGAUUCCUUUCUAUAUUGUUUAUUGCUUUUCCCACAUUGCUUUUAAUAUUUUAUCUUUAUCUCGAAUUUUUGUCAAUUUGAUUACUCUGUCUUGGGGUGUUCCUCCUUGGGUUGAUCCUGUAUGGAACUCUAAGUGAUCCUUGGACUUGGGUGAGUGCUUCCUUUCUCAUGUUAGGGAAAGUUUCAGCUAUUAUUUCUUCAAACAUUUUCUCAGAUCCUUUCUCUUUUUGGACCCCUAUAAUACGAAUGUUGGUGCCUUUGACAUUAUCCCAGAGCUCCAGUAAACUGUUUUCAUCAUUUCAUUUUUUUAAAAAUUCUGUUCCAUGGCAGUGAUUUCCAUCACUCUGUAUUCCAGCUCACUUAUUUAUUCUGCUUCUGAUCCUUCUUAGUACAUUUUCCAUUUCAGGUAUUGUAUUCUUCAACUCUAUUUGGUUAUUGUUUGUUUUUUCU